GACGAACGCUGGCGGCGUGCCUAAUACAUGCAAGUAGAACGCUGAAGGAGGAGCUUGCUCUUCUGGAUGAGUUGCGAACGGGUGAGUAACGCGUAGGUAACCUGCCUGGUAGCGGGGGAUAACUAUUGGAAACGAUAGCUAAUACCGCAUAACAGUAGAUGUUGCAUGACAUUUACUUAAAAGGUGCACUUGCAUCACUACCAGAUGGACCUGCGUUGUAUUAGCUAGUUGGUGGGGUAACGGCUCACCAAGGCGACGAUACAUAGCCGACCUGAGAGGGUGAUCGGCCACACUGGGACUGAGACACGGCCCAGACUCCUACGGGAGGCAGCAGUAGGGAAUCUUCGGCAAUGGACGGAAGUCCGACCGAGCAACGCCGCGUGAGUGAAGAAGGUUUUCGGAUCGUAAAGCUCUGUUGUAAGAGAAGAACGAGUGUGAGAGUGGAAAGUUCACACUGUGACGGUAUCUUACCAGAAAGGGACGGCUAACUACGUG
rnacentral:rRNA from 1 species